rnacentral:rRNA from 1 species
AAGCUCGUAGUUGAAUUUCGGACCUGACCGGGUGGUCCGCCUAACGGUGUGUACUGUCUGGCCGGGCCUUACCUCUUGGUGAGCCGGCAUGCCCUUAAUUGGGUGUGUCGGGGGAACCAGGACCUCUACCCUUGAGAAAAUUAGAGUGUUCAAAGCAAGCUUACGCCGGAAUACAUUAGCAUGGAAUAAUAAAAUAGGACGUGCGGUUCUAUUUUGUUGGUUUCUAGAGUCGCCGUAAUGAUUAAUAGGAUAGUUGGG